GAUGAACGCUGGCGGCGUGCCUAAUACAUGCAAGUCGAGCGAACAGACGAGGAGCUUGCUCCUCUGACGUUAGCGGCGGACGGGUGAGUAACACGUGGAUAACCUACCUAUAAGACUGGGAUAACUUCGGGAAACCGGAGCUAAUACCGGAUAAUAUAUUGAACCGCAUGGUUCAAUAGUGAAAGACGGUUUUGCUGUCACUUAUAGAUGGAUCCGCGCCGCAUUAGCUAGUUGGUAAGGUAACGGCUUACCAAGGCGACGAUGCGUAGCCGACCUGAGAGGGGGAUCGGCCACACUGGAAAUAAGACACGGUCCAGACUCCGACGGGAGGCAGGAGUAGGUAAUCUUCCGCAAUGGGCGAAAGCCUGACGGAGCAACGCCGCGUGAGUGAUGAAGGUCUGCGGAUCGUAAAACGCUGUUAUUAGGGAAGAACAAAUGUGUAAGUAACUAUGCACGUCUUGACGGUACCUAAUCAGAAAGCCACGGCUAACUACGG
rnacentral:rRNA from 1 species